UAACACAUGCAAGUCGAGCGGUAGCACAGAGAGCUUGCUCUCGGGUGACGAGCGGCGGACGGGUGAGUAAUGUCUGGGAAACUGCCUGAUGGAGGGGGAUAACUACUGGAAACGGUAGCUAAUACCGCAUAACGUCGCAAGACCAAAGAGGGGGACCUUCGGGCCUCCUGCCAUCAGAUGUGCCCAGAUGGGAUUAGCUAGUAGGUGGGGUAACGGCUCACCUAGGCGACGAUCCCUAUCUGGUCUGAGAGGAUGACCAGCCACACUGGAACUGAGACACGGUCCAGACUCCUACGGGAGGCAGCAGUGGGGAAUAUUGCACAAUGGGCGCAAGCCUGAUGCAGCCAUGCCGCGUG
rnacentral:rRNA from 1 species